GGGAAGAUGGCUCAGUGGUGGAGUACUUGCCUUGCAUGCAUGAGGCCCUGGGUUCGAUUCCUCAGUACCA
rfam:Dipodomys ordii contig_22948, whole genome shotgun sequence.